GAGAGGACGAUCGGCUCAGACGUGUCACAGGAUCUCAGACACACACUCUGAAUCUGCUUCAACAUAAACUGAAACAAAACAAACCAACAUGUGAGCGUCAUGCAUGUGGACCUGCACAGAGCUGAAGCCUGAUGGGUUCUGGACCCAGCCACAGGGAAGAACCAGUUACAGAGAGCCCCCCCCCAUCACAGCCCUGCAACCACUCUGAAUCGGAUUCAGUGGACUCGUCUCCACGUCCUCCUGCCAUCCUCAUCACGGCUCCGUCCCGAGAGAACCUCCAUGUCUCCACCUCCACCAUGACGCUAGCCGACUCCGCCAAAGAGCGGAGGCCGGCCUCCACCCCCUUCGUGGUGGGGAAGAAACCAGUGACCAGUCAGUGACUGGAAACCUCCUGUCACACGAGGUCAACUGAGGAUCAGGGUCAGAGCGAGGGCCACAGACAGUGUGGAGAGUCGGUACUUCAGAGAGAAGCCCCCCCCCCCCCCCCGUGAGAACAGACGUGUCUCUGGGUCAGUUGGUCGUCUCCUCUCCUCAGCCUGUGAACCUGAUUCCAACCUUCACACAACAAACAAGCGGCUCCUCCAGCAGAGAGCCACAGCAAAGUGUGAACAGGAGGAAUCUGAAUCAGAAGAUGAAGAUGAAGAUGAUGAUGAUGAGCAUGAAGAUGAUGAUGAUGACGUGGUUCCUCCGUCCACACGGGGAACCUGGAUCUGCUCCUCAGCACGUUUCAGUGGAUUAAGGACGAUUCAGAUUCAAACCGUUCACACAGAUCAGAGCAGGACUGAAGUGUUCAGUAGAACUUUGACCUGCUUAUCAGAACAAUAUAAAUAUCUUCAAUGUUUCUGGAUUAGUUCUUAAAUCCAUAAAGCUGCUAAUGUCUGUGCUUGAAGGAAACUGGACUUUACAAACAGGCCGAUGUGUUCUCCUCUCGUUUGGACCUGAACAUCCAAACGGUCUGUGCAGGAGGAAGUCGCUCGGACUCGACCUGGAUCUGCGUGGAGAGAUCUGAUCGUCACUGAACGGCUUCUGAGUCAAGUCGUGAAUCUGCUGAUUGUUUGUUAAAGGAACAGUUCAACAUUCUAGGAAAUAUGUUUAUGUUUUGGGCGGCUGUAGUAAGGGGUAGAGCGGUCGUCCUCUAGGUCGGCAGUUCGAUCCCCAGUCUUCCCCAUCUGCUUGCCGAAGUGUCCUUGGGCAAGUUGCUGCCAACAGAUGGAUUGUGUGAAUGUGUGUGUGCAUGUAUGUGUGUGAAUGUCAAACUGCAAAGUGCUUUGAGUCAUCAAGUCUAGAAAAGAUCUUUAUAAAUAAAAAACAUUUACCAUUGAUUCUGUUUGAGGAGGAUGUGUUCAGGGACAUCGUGGAGCUGUAGGUCAUCUGAGUUUCAUCAGUUCACCUGGUUCUGUCCAACAAGGCCCUGUUCACACCUGGAGUUAACAUCUGUCCCGUGUGAUUCUAACACAGAGGGCAGCUCUAGGUUCAGGUGUGAAUGGACCCAAGACGUAUUGAGGACACAUCUGCUGAUCUGAAAUACUUUUACUUGAUUUCUGGAUAGUGACAGGAAGUGAAGCAUCUUUGUUUACAGUCUUUGUUUGUAUGGUGUUGAACUUUUCCUUUAAGAGCCCAAAACUGUAGUUUACUGUAAAUAAACUGUGAAUAAACUGUAAAUCAACUGUGAAUAAACUGUGAAUAAACUGUGAAUAA